rnacentral:lncRNA from 1 species
AAAAUUACGGUAUAGAAGAAGAAAAUGACGUAGUUGCGGUUGAUUUAGAUGAAGAUGAUGAAAAUAUUGGUGAGACACCCGAAGUAGAAAAUGCUAACGUUAGAUCCGAAUCGGUUAAUCUCCCUCCCCGUGCCCCAAGAGCUCGUAAACAAACUAGUGUUGCAUGGAAAUUUUUUGAACAUAUAUCAUAUACUGAGGUGCAAUGCAAUAUUUGUCAAAAAAUAUAUAAGCAUAUAAGAGGAGGC